CGUGCAGCUGAGAUCCUGGCGCGAGAUGGUCCCAACGCCCUCACUCCCCCUCCCACUACUCCUGAAUGGAUCAAGUUUUGUCGGCAGCUCUUUGGGGGGUUCUCAAUGUUACUGUGGAUUGGAGCGAUUCUUUGUUUCUUGGCUUAUAGCAUCCAAGCUGCUACAGAAGAGGAACCUCAAAACGAUAAUAUGCUCUUACAAGUGGGAUGCCCACCUGCAUGUGCUGCUGUGAGCAGGCAGCUCUGCUCAGGCCCCGGCCGCCACCCACUGGAUGGCAGAGCACAGCGAUUCAUGUUGGCACAUCCACCUGUCCAGAAAUGCUUGGUGGCCAUUCUUCAAAAUCCACAAGUUGGU
rnacentral:lncRNA from 1 species